GACAGAGGGGGCAAGCGUUGCUCGGAAUUACUGGGCGUAAAGGGCGCGUAGGCGGGAUGGCAAGUCGGUCGUGAAAUCCCUCGGCUCAACCGAGGAACGUCGAUCGAUACUGCUGUUCUUGAGGAUUGCAGAGGAGACUGGAAUUCCCGGUGUAGCGGUGAAAUGUGUAGAUAUCGGGAGGAACACCAGUGGCGAAGGCGGCUUUCUGGCCUGCUCUUGACGCUGAGGCGCGAAAGCUAGGGUAGCAAACGGG
rnacentral:rRNA from 1 species